rnacentral:lncRNA from 8 species
CUGGGAUACUGUCAUUUUUCAGGAGCUGGUGACAGCCUUAGCCUGCACUGAAGUUUACUUUGUAAUUUGCUGACAUUUCUCCUUUCCCCCCCUCAUUCUUCCCCUGCCUCCUGCUUACAGAUGUGACCAACUGUUCCACAAUAGGGAAAUUCCGAGGAGUUCAGAUUCUUUCAUUCCUUCUGGUCCGAGGCAGCAUUGGUAUCAAGUGUUCCUAACAGGUGGGGGCAUAGGGGGUAUUGGUCAUACUGGUGUUGUUGGCGAGGACGAAGCUUGGGCAUCGGGCAGAAUGUUGCCACCUGCAUGAGUGGAACAGAGGAGCCUCAGUUCUGGUUCUCUUUCCUGAGACGACAACCACAGGAUGAGGCUUGAGAGGAGGUAAAAGUUUGAGAUGGAUGUGGUGUUGUGUUGAAAUGUGAUUGUCAAUUUGGAGCCAUUCUGUCCAUACAGUGAGUCCCAGAGCUGCCUGAGUAGGU